GAGUUUGAUCUUGGCUCAGAUUGAACGCUGGCGGCAUGCCUUACACAUGCAAGUCGAACGGCAGCAUGAUCUAGCUUGCUAGAUUGAUGGCGAGUGGCGAACGGGUGAGUAAUACAUCGGAACGUGCCCUGUAGUGGGGGAUAACUAGUCGAAAGAUUAGCAAAUACCGCAUACGACCUGAGGGUGAAAGUGGGGGACCGCAAGGCCUCAUGCUAUAGGAGCGGCCGAUGUCUGAUUAGCUAGUUGGUGGGGUAAAGGCCCGACCAAGGCGACGAUCAGUAGCUGGUCUGAGAGGACGAUCAGCCACACUGGGACUGAGACACGGCCCAGACUCCUACGGGAGGCAGCAGUGGGGAAUUUUGGACAAUGGGCGAAAGCCUGAUCCAGCAAUGCCGCGUGUGUG
rnacentral:rRNA from 1 species